UACGUAGGGGGCAAGCGUUGUCCGGAAUCAUUGGGCGUAAAGAGCGUGUAGGCGGCCAGAUAAGUCCGCUGUGAAAUCUCGAGGCUCAACUUCGAGCUGUCGGUGGAAACUGUCUGGCUAGAGUCCGGAAGAGGAGAAUGGAAUUCCUGGUGUAGCGGUGAAAUGCGUAGAUAUCAGGAAGAACACCCGUGGCGAAGGCGGUUCUCUGGGACGGUACUGACGCUGAGACGCGAAAGCGUGGGGAGCGAACAGG
rnacentral:rRNA from 1 species